GUCUGUGGCCAUAUCGCUCUGCUCAUGCUGCUCUUGUCUGAUCUCAGAAGCUAAGCAGAGUUGAGCCUGGUCCCUCCUUGGAUGGGAGACCACCUGGGAACACCAUAUGCUGUAGGCU
ensembl:rRNA 5S_rRNA 5S ribosomal RNA